rnacentral:lncRNA from 1 species
CCUUGGCGCUACCUCAGAAGGACACCAUCAGUGGGUGCGAGCUACGAACUUGCGGGUGCCUGGCUCAGUAGGACAUUUUGAGGACUGCUGUCUUACCACAUCUCUCAGUGUGCAGGCAGGAGAUCCCAAUGGUAGUAAAAGCCAACUCCAGUCAGCCCUGGAGUCUUAGUAAGUGCUGAACGUCACCCUUGGCAGAAGAUUCACUGAUCGCAGCCACUGUACGGACACUACCAUGUAUGAGGCCAGGAAAAGUGAGUGUAGGGCCCAGGCUGUGUGCCCAUGUUCUACACAGGACAGUUGUCCUACAGGACCUGAACUCGGCUUUGGUGGGGAUGACCAGACCAUCAGUGGAGGAGGAAGGCGUGGUGCUGAGUGGGACCUAAGGGAGAGAGGCUGGUGGCCUCCAAGUCCCUCAUGGGCAGUUGGGAGGUGCCUGUGAUGUUCCACUGCAGCAGAGAUGAGCACACAGGGAUCUACUUGUGUAGGGCCACAAGGUUGAAAUCUCAACGACUUGUGGUCGUGAUCAGUGGGAUCUAGGAGCCUAGGUGGGCAGGGCCAUCUCAGACUUUGUGCAAGGGAAAGGUAUAUUGGCUGGUGUCCAGCCACAUGCUAGGACAUGGAAUAGUCAAAGGAAUAGUACCCAUGGUCUGUGCAGCAAGCACCUACAGCCUGCUGGUUCACGGUGGAGUCCAUCACAAAGUGCUGUCCAGCUGGACCUGCCCAGCUGUGGACACUACUGAGGAAGUACUGCUAGGGGUCAAGCCCAGGAAUGCUUUCCAGAGCUCAGCAAAAUUCAGGAUUUUUACAGAUGAAUGUCCAAGAGCAGUUAAUUUCAAACUUCACCACUGGUACCAAUGGAGUCUCGCCACUCUUCCAAAACCAACACACUGGGCAGGGUGGCACGUGCCUAUAAUCCCAGUGACUCAGGAGACCGGAAAGUCAUCCCCAGCAAUUCAGCAAGACCCUGUUCUCAGUAAGGGACGUGGAUAUAGCCCAGUGGAAUCCCUGGGCUCAUUCCCCAGUACAACCCCAAGAAAUCUUCC